GAACGAAUGGUGCAAUGAUAGCACAACAUAACCGGAAAUUUGUGGAUGGUGGGUUUGAUUCCCCCUUCGUUCG